GAAGUCUCUGUCAGUGGUCAUGAUAAUGACAGAGUGGGAGGGCUACUCGCUGAAACUAAAAAAGACCGCGAUCGAGCAGCGAUCCCACUGACUUUUAUUUCCCCAGUCCCGCGACCAGAGCCGGGCUGAUCCGUGUCACGCGUGGAUGAUGGUUUUUAUCGCUGCUUUCUAUUUGGAUCCGCGCUAAAGGAAAACUUUACCAGCCACUGUUGUCAGGUGAGCAGCCUUCCAGCACCAGAGCCAUGAUUGAUCUCUUACUGAGAUGGGUUGCUUUUGUUUGGGCUUUGAAAACUGUUCCUUACACUUUCGGACUGACAGUAAUUGACAUUAGAGAUCACUCGUGUCCCCCUCUGACUGUGGAGGACCAAAAGUGUUCUGAUAAUUUAUCUCAUCCUCUGGAAUACUCAGGAUAUGAUCUCACAGAAACAUUUCUUCUCCGAAAGGGAACAGUCAAAGAGGACCUGCCAUCGUUUCGAUUAGGGAGCAGUCCGCUCAUUAAGCCAACAAAAUCCGUAUUCCCGAAGGGCCUUACGAGCGACUACUCCCUUGUGUCCGUCCUCCGGGUGAGACGAACUACGAAAAAAGACCGCUGGUAUCUCUGGCAUGUAUUCGACCAAUCGGGGGAAACUCAGGUGUCUGUCGUUGUUGAUGGUGACAAGAGGGUGGUGGAGUUUUCUUUCCAGAGUGUGCUGAAUACUACAAUCCGCUUCACGUUCAAGAGUCGUGAGCUGCAUGUCCUGUUUGAUCGCCAGUGGCACAAGCUGAGUCUUUCUGUACAUGGGGAGUUCGUCUCGGUUUAUGUGGACUGCAAGCUAUUAGAAAGGAGAGUGAGUUUUGACAAGAAUGUCGUGGACCUAAGUGGACGAACACUUAUCACGACACGAGUGGAGGACGGAAGACCUGUAGACAUUGAAUUAAAACAGAUUCUCAUCUACUGUGACCCGUAUGUGGCUGAGAUCGAAAACUGCGAUGAUCUGCUUAAAUCGAAGGGGGACUUGGGGGAGACGGGCCUUGCAGGAAACCCCGGACACACGGGAGAAGUGGGAUCAGAAGGGCAAGAGGCGAUCGAUAGAGAGAAGGCUCUGAAAGGAGAUUUGGGAACUGUUGGUCCAUUUGGAACCAAUGGAACCAGAGGUGACGUCCCCGGAAUCCCAGAGCUGCCUGGCCUUCAAGGAGAAAAGGGAGAGAAGGGAUCAGCUGGAGCGCCGGGUCAGCCAGGCAAAGAGGGCAAAAGGGGACGGAGAGGAAAACCCGGGGAGCCUGGACCCAGAGGCCCACCUGGUCCACCAGGAACCUCCGCAAAUGCAAGUGAAGAGGCGGAGAAGGGGGAGUCUGGAUUCUCGAGGGGAAAGGGGGAGAAGGGAGAGCGAGGAGAUCCUGGUCAGCCAGGUGCCGAGGGGAAUGGCGGCGUGAAAGGACAAAAAGGCGAUGUCGGUCCUCCUGGUCCUCCUGGUCCUGUGAUGACAGCUCAUGGAUUAAGACAGCUCUCUGAAACAGAUGGCACGAGCCAGAAGGCUGAAAAGGGAGAGAAGGGCGACCAAGGACCUCAAGGACGUCAAGGCUUCAAGGGAAGCGUAGGGCCUCCGGGACUAAAGGGAGAUCAAGGACUGGAGGGGAAACAAGGCCAGCCUGGACUCAUCGGACUCCCGGGACUCCCAGGCGAGCCUGGCUUACUAGGGAAGCCAGGGGCACCUGGGAGAGAUGGCCUGAAAGGAGAAAAGGGGGAUAAUGGUGGACUGAUGGGGCCCCAGGGGCCUCCUGGUCCUAAGGGCGAGCCUGGAGACCCCGGUGGUGGAUCUAUGAGUGACGGGUCUUCUCUGAUUAGAGGGUCUCGUGGGCCGAAGGGAGAGCGAGGAAUACCGGGAGAGCAUGGAGAGAGGGGAGAACCCGGGGAGACCAUCAUCGGCCCCGUGGGACCCCCGGGGAAGCCAGGAACUGAGGGACCUCGUGGACCGCAAGGUUUAUCUGGCCCACCUGGACCUCCAGGAAAAGAGGGCUCCCCAGGUAGACCGGGUCCACCGGGCCCUGCUGGACCUCCAGGUGAACCAACCGCCCUGCCUAUUAUCGGAGACACGGGUGCUUUACUCAAGAACGCCUGCAGUGUGUGCCAGACGAGAGUUCCCGGGCUGCCUGGGCAGAAGGGAGAGAAGGGGACCCCUGGAGCGCAAGGAGUGGAAGGCUUGGUGGGAGAAAAGGGGGAUCCUGGUGUAAGAGGUCCCAUGGGUAACCCAGGGAAGGAAGGCCCAAAGGGAGUAAAAGGAGAACGAGGGUUCCCAGGCCCGACUGGAGAUAAAGGUGACGAGGGAACGCCAGGAGUACCUGGACUUCCUGGUGUGACGGGUCAAACAGGAGCUCCAGGACUAAUGGGCAGACCUGGUUCAAUGGGCCAACAUGGACCAAAAGGAGAAAAAGGGAAUGAAGGACCUCCUGGCAGACCAGGACUUCCAGGACCUCCAGGUGUGCCUUAUGUGGAGGGCACCGGGAUGAGCAGUCUGUACAAGCUUCAGAGUGGUGGAGCUAUUCUGGGACCCCCCGGAGCUCCUGGCGUUCCGGGUCCCAAAGGAGAUGAAGGACCUCCAGGGGAGCCGGGACUCAUGGGUUUACCCGGGCUUGAAGGGCUACCCGGCGCGAAGGGUGAUAUUGGUUUGCCUGGGCCCUCUGGGACACCAGGUCCUGCAGGGAAGCCCGGCACUCGCGGAGAGCCAGGGAUCCCAGGAGAGCCGGGUGAGAGGGGGCCGAUUGGCGAGACAGGAUUCCCUGGACCUGAGGGACCCCAAGGUGUUCCUGGGAGGCCUGGAAAAGAUGGAACUCCAGGAUACAAGGGCGACUCAGGUAGAACGGGAGAUCGCGGAACCAAAGGAGAGCGUGGUGAUCCAGGGAUUCCCGGUAUACGAGGUCUUCAAGGCGAGAGGGGUCGCAUAGGAGAUCCUGGCCCGGUUGGACCGAUUGGACCACAGGGUGAAAAGGGCGACCCUGGACCUCCUGGACAGUUUGGCAGUAAUACACUCCUGGACGAUCCCAGCUUUACACAAGAACUCAGACUGUUUAUCCAAAACGAAGUCACAAAAAUCUUUAAAGAGAAAGAAUCCAGCUCUGGCAAGCUGCAGAAGACACCUGCCGGCAUCUUAGCUCCACAGAUCCAAGGGCCUCCGGGACCCCCUGGCAAAGAUGGAUCACCAGGUCCUCCAGGAGAGCCUGGACCACCUGGUCCACAAGACCCAUAGAUCAAUGCAGACUGAGGGGCGGGAAGCAGAGGAAAAGGCCAGGAGUGUGGUGCACAGCAGCUCUCUGGGAAAUAUGAAGACAAAUGAAGAAUUGGCUGUGAAUAAGAGAAAGUGUUAUCAGUGUGGACAGGAAAAGAGCUCCGUUAUUGAUACCUCACUCCGGGAGAGAAAGCCUCUAACAUACAAAAAGGAGCAUAGUCAGGAAGGCGGGUGGACAUUCUUUAUCAGACUGAUACUACUCUCUGACUGCUCUCACAUCACUAAUGGUUUGCUGGUCAGGCUUUGUAUCUCAGCAGAAAUAUCUAAUCUUAACCUUUGAAGAGGGGUGUUUGCAUGCAUUGGUGCAAAUCAAAGCACCAAUGUAUCAAUCUUCCUCUUUGAGCUUUGUAUCUACCUCAUGUCAUUCAUGACCAUUUACAUUUUAACUCACUGCUAAAAGUCCCAAAUCCACUAUCAGAACUUCCGGCUAAUUUUACCUGACUUGUCUCCAAUACACCUGGCCAUUUUAGAAACCAACGGAGUACCUGAACUGGGGUUUGUUCUCUGGGGUCUUAUGAUUUUUUUUUCUUUCUUUUAAUGUUCCAUGACACUAUAUUUUGUCUUAUCGUGUGUUUUGUGGUUGUGUUCAGCUUGGUCUGCUGAUAAGAGUGUGGAAAGUACUUUAUAAAUAAAUGAACUAAACUUAACUACUCUGAAUGGCCAGGUAGUUGCUGGGCGGGAUGUGUGGUUAACUCACGCUGAUUGGUUGUAACUCAGAGGGAAAUGACAUAGGGAGCAUAAGUCUCCUCCCUUUCCAGUCGGCUCAUCGGUCCCCAGAAGAAGGAAAAAAUUCAAGCAAAUCAAUGAGGCUAAAAACGCUAUUUUCUAAUCUGCUUCGCACAUCUGUUGUACUGCAAUUUAAAUGAAAAGUAAUGAUGGAUGUUUCAACCACACCUGUCAGAUACUUGAGAAUUAUUAGCUUGUAAAAGUUUGUAAUUAGCAUGACUAUAAAUCAGACAACAGCACGUUGCAUAUGUGACAUCACCAUAGAAUCUCCUCUCCCCUAGCGUAGCUGCUGCUUACCAAAUGGCCAGACUGAUGGUGGUUCUUUCCUCCUGAAGGAAGGAUUUCAAGUUUGCUAAACUUACAGCCAUUUGCCCUCUGUUUUCCUCCAUGUCUUGUUAGAUGACGUCACUUUCGUGAAGCGCACUUGUAGUCCUGGACUUAUUUUCACACAAAACCUAAAAUAAUGUUCCCCCCGUUCAAAAGUACGAGCAUUUUUUGUAUCAAAAUGCGUCUUUAAAAUUCACGGGCGGGAUUGGAAAAUAGCAUUUUUAGCCACAUUGACCAUUCAUUUUUUGUUCUUCCGGGAACCCAUGAGCCGGACGUAGAUGGGCGUGACUUAGGCUCCUGCUCGUGACUGCUCCCGCUACCCGACUCUGGGUAAGCUGAUGAAAAUGGAUGGAUGGAUGGAUGAGAAUUUUGCUUUAAAACUCUUGUAACCGGGCUUUUCCACCAGACAUGUAAACAUUGCGUAGAGUCCGUGAAACCUAGUGAAACGUACACAGCAAUUAGCAACCGUUAUCGUAGAUGGGUGCGUUCCCACUGACUGCAAAGCAUCCCAAAAGUAUAGAUACGUGUUGCUUACGCUUUGAGUGUAUUUUUUUUUACACACUGUGCUUCGAGAACGUGUCAAGCUAAGCCGUUUAGAUCGGAAGAGACAGGAAGUCAAACACAAAAAAUCAUUUAGAAACUUUCCAAGUAACAGUCUCAUACAGAUUUCCAGUAGCGUAAACGGGUAAAAACAAAAGUAUGUCAUCAUUACCUGUGAAACCUCCGUAGCCGAGAUAAGCAUAUCAAAAAAUAAACCACAGACCUUUUUGGAUACUUACUGUCAUUGUUGUCUUUGUUGUCACGCAAAUUGCCGAUGUCACAUGUGGUCCUGCAAAGCUCCGGUGAUUUUGUGACCUCAUGGAUGCUACCUCAGUCAUUUCACGCUUAAAAUGCCCUCUGUGUACGUUAUACACUGCAUACACAUCAAGUAAAAGCCGGGGUAACACAGACAACUGAGACAGAAAUCCCCUCCCAACGCUGUAAUUUAUGGAGCUUUCUGGUCUCACAAAACGUCAUUAACAACGGCGCUUCUUCGAUUCAUUGACUGUUGCUUUUUACAUCACAGUGCAGCUCUCCCUGUCAGCUGAAUGGAUUAAAUUACAGCUUAAUCUGACACAGUAAAAGUUUUAAUGUUAUUAACGUCCAUAGGCCGGGCCGUCAAAUAUCCUGGUCAUUCUUCUCCCUCCCAAAAAUUUUCCGGAACUCCGAUAGUGGAAACACGGCUACAGUUUCAAAAUGCUGCUUUCGUCCGUGAAUAAUGUAUCUAAAGUAAGCAACUACUCUGCUCUAUAUAUUUGUGCUGUGCUGAUGCCACUAGCAUUACACGUGUAUUGGAUUUUGUGUUUUGUUUUAAUGGUUUUUAUGCUUCAAAAGAGUGUUUUAUAGGUCGUUUAUAAUGCAGCUUUGCAAUAAAUAUUUAUUGAAAAUGAAGAGAAAAGUUAUUUCCCUUGAUAAAUUAAGAGUUCAACAACUUGCAAAAAUAUUUUUUUUCCUUUGUUGACUUGUGACUCCACUCAGCUGGUGAGGGAGUUUGGGGUAAUAUUUCCUCAUUAUUUCUCGUCAUCAUCCGCUGGAGAUUGUUCUCCUCUGGAAUAUCCAAUUUGACUUCUUCUCUAUUGUGACAAAAUGAAUUGUUUAUGGAGAAAAACAACCCCUCUGUUGAAUUCAUUGUCUUAUUUUUUUAUUUUAUUUUAUUUAUUUUUGCUGUCUCUCUUCGUGGUUUGAUUCCACGAGUGAGGAAGUCUCCAGCUGUUAGAGCAUGCCUACAGGGACACGCUGAAGAGCAGCAUCCUUUGUUGUAAUUUACUGCUCUUUUAUCAUUAUAUUUAUCUUUUAUCAUUUAGAUCCCAACGAAAAAUCUCUCCAGCGUAAAUCAUUGUGUUUAAAUUCAUAUUUCAUUAAGGCUACAUUUCUCUUUAUUUCAACACUUUUUUUUUCGAAGCCCCUGACUUCUUUGUGUUCAUUAACCCUGACUGAAACACGCUGUUAUUUCAUUCAAGAGUCUAUAAAUUCUGUUUUUGAGCCGUUUCCAUUUUGAACAUUAUGGAUGUCUGUAAAUAUCGCCGUGUAUUUGAUGGAGCAGCUGCUCAAAGGAAGUUGUUUGUAUUUAUUUUUCUUUUGUAAGGCGGUGAAUACAUGGCUGCGGCUGUCAAUAAUGUUUACAGCUGUGUAAGGGCUGCAAACCUCUCGGUCAAGACUGAAACCACUGACACUCUUCUUGGCAGUAUUUUUGUUUUAUUUUUCCUCUUGUUAACGUACUUUGGCAAUUAGCGGCCCUGGAAAAGAUUUGUUUUCUAACAAGUGCACAGUGACAUUUUCGAUUUUAUCAGGGUGCACCAAUCCAGUGUGCAACCCUAGCUUAUUGCUUUGUGUGCUGUUCGGUUAUUGUUAUUCCUUUUUUUUUUUUCAUAUCUUCCUUAAGGUACAGUGCACUUUUCUCCAUGGAACGUCUCCUCCCUGAAUGAAUGCCCCAGGCUCUGUGAGUGUUGAAAGAAGUCUCAUUAUUGUGGCAGUGUGUGGAUAGCCCCUCUUUCUUUGAGAUUCAUUUUUGGAGCAUUCGUAAUCCUUUCUUCUGAGAUUUUCCCUGACAUGUAAGCGCUGAAGCGUUUCCCCCUUUGGGCCAGGCGGAGCCAUGCUUGAUACUCCUGUCAAUGUUUCUGAUGCACUCCUUGCAACUGCUGGUUGAGAGACUCCAUUACUUUAAACGCCUCAUGGGGAAAUAGUGUUGUAUUACUUGGUAUGCUGAUGUUCUGAGCUGUGGAGACUUACCAGCUUUGCAUGCUGUGAAAAAGCCUCUGAGGGGUGACCGUGUGCUCGUUGUUGUCGUUAUCUGGUCUGUUGUGCGGAUUUUUGCACAUGCUUUGAUUCAUUUUUUAACAGAUUAAACAUGUGCUUGUGAUCAUUACUUGAUUUCUUUCCUUAGAAGCAACUGCGUUUGCAUCAUAGACGAGACGUGCACGAGCAUAAAUUUUAAACGAGCAUCAGAGUCUAGUAUAGCUACGGAGCUGUUUUAUCACACAGUCUGCCUGUUUCUACCGUCUGAGCACCUGCAGUGACUCAGACACCUGACCUCUGGUUGGGAGAAAAUAAAAAAAACCUCUUCAGUCUGCUCUGAAGUCUUCAAGGACGCAUUCUUGUGAUCCUGUUGUUGUCCGUGACGUAAUACUCUCUUUCAAAGUCUAACAUACAGAUGGCCUGUUUGAGGAUUUUGGUUUUGGCAGGAUGUCAGCACAUCUUAUAUUAUUUAAAGAGUUUGGACUGAAACUUGGGACUCAGAGUCGGUGUCAACAGCACCCACUAAAGCUGCCUCGCUCAAAUAAAACAGGUGCAAAAGCUGGUGUCUGACAUGGUUGUCCCUGUAGUCAUACUUCAACAAACUGUUGUCACUAAAUGUGUUUGCCUGUCUUGACACUUCUAAUAUGCAUUUAUUCUAAUCUUACUAACAAGGGAUCAACCGAUUUAUCAGCCAGCCGAUACAUUUCAUUAGUAGAGCCCAUUUAAAUUCAGGCAAGAGUGUGGGAGGCCCCGUGCUGCUGCUGAAAUUUAUUUAAAUAGAUAUUUACAUUUCUGCUUUUAAAAGCUUUAAAACAUUGUUGUCAACUGAAAUUUAUUUUUAUUUAAAUGUUAAUUAAUACUAAGUCAGUUUAUUAAUUUGUUUGAUAAACUUUGGUUAAAUGUUUGAUUUAGCACAAAAUUUGGAUUCAACCAUUGGUUAAAUUCAGUGUUCACAAACUGAUUCAGGUUCAGAAAUGCUGCACAUCUACUGUUAUUAUUAGUGUUACACUUUAGCAGCCAGAGAAGGAAGCUUUAAAUAUUGCCCAUUAAAGUCAUCCCAAAAAUUGGUAGCACAUGUUGACCAUUGGCUGACAAUGUCCUCCACGUAUCGGGAUCAGUAUAGGCAAUAGAAAACCCCAUAUCGGUUGAUCUCUGUCACUAACUGUACUGUAGGCUUGGUGAACAUGUCUACAUACUUGUUUUUUCCAUUUUUCUUCAGAGGAAUAUGUGUCUGUGUGUCCACAGGAUACAGAGGUCCGAAGGGAGAACGAGGGCAGCUCGGGCUGGGUUUACCAGGAGAUCCAGGACCCCUGGGGCGACCAGGCCCACCUGGGAUCAACUCUCAAGGCCCUCCUGGCUCUCCGGGUCCCCGUGGACCUCCAGGGACAUGUGACCCCAGUGACUGUUUUCUUCCUUCCUUAUAAGCCAAACGGAGUUUGGUCUGAGCAGCUCUGAGAUCAGCUGUCCACCCCUUAGCACCCGUGCCAGACCGUCUUUGGUGUGUCCAACAGCUCCAUCCUACAGACUCAUGACUGGACUCUUUUGUACACAGCAUUAUGUUGCUGUGGGGCUUUUUGUUGUUGUUUUGUGGGAUUGCAGAUGUGUUUUGAACACAACUUGCUGUACUUUGAAGCUCUUCCUCAUUUUCCCAACCCUUACCCCGGUGUGAUGCAUUCCUCAUCCAGACCAUGAAAUGACACAGUUUUGUCAAGUUCAGCCCUGUCUAAAAACACAAUCUGCAUUAUUUGUUUACCCUGUUAAGGGUCGUGUCUACGCACUCUUCUGUUCUUCUCAUAAGCUGCCAUCCUGGCUCAACGUACAUCUCACAGUUAGUGCACACUUGUGCAGAUGGGACACACACACACACACACACACACACACACACACACACACACACACACACACACACACACACACACACACACACACACACACACACACACACACACACACACACACACACACACACACACACACACACACACACACACACACACACACACCACCUGGGUGAAUUAACUUUUUUUGUUGGAGAUUUGAUAAAAAAAUUGACUCAUGACACGUUUUUUGCUAUCAACGUGCAUUCAGUGUGUCUGACUUGGAGUUUUAUUUAUUUUAAGGUUUAUCCUCAAGAAUGUAUCUGAAAGAAGGCACUGUAAGAAAUGAAACGUUGAAGUGACUUUACCAAGUUAUGUCAAAUGGUUCCAAUAAACCUAAUUGCUUAAAUGUAAAGAGUAAUAGACAUCAUUGUUAAAAUUAAAUGUAUAGGUGUAAUGGAAGCGGUUGGCAUAACUUGGUUAAGUAAACUCAACAUUUCAUUUUUUAGAAUGUGCUAAAUCUACCAUGGAGGAUUGUUAGUCGUUUAGUAAAUUGCUAAAAGAGGUUGUGGAUACGUGUUUGGAUUGCCGAUUGAUGGUUUUAUUUUCUUGUUAUUGACAUGUUUGCUGUUUGUAUCAUAAUCAGCUUUCCAAGAACCUGCAGAGGCAUCAUGUCUUUCUGUUUUCAUCAUUUCCCAAAGCUUUUUGCAAUUAAAAGAACAAAAACACAGAAACGCAAACAACCCACAGGUACUAUUUGUAGCUACUCGUAAAAUACUGCAAGGGCAGAAACUUCUACACUAAAGUGCUUUCAGUUUUGUCGUUACUGUUGUUUUAAGCUAUAAAAGCCUGUGAUUGUGUGGUGUAAUUACACGGGUUUAUUUUUUUACUUAUACUCUUGUUUGGUGCCAAAUGAGGCUUUGAUUAAGGGACCUGAUAAUAUAGCAUCACGAGCAAGCUGUCGGUGAAACCACACCGACGACAUUUCAGAUGAUUUUGAUGUUUACAUGGUGUCAUGUAUGAUGAUUCCUCUGGAUUGUGUGUAUAUUUUUGAAUCACAGAGGCAAUCGGACCAUCACACUACAGCUAUACUGUAAGAAACAAAAUGUUGAAGCAACUUAAAGCUACGUCAACGGGUUCCACUAAACCUUGUUGUUUACAAGUAAACAGUAAUAUACAUUUACUUUGAACAUGACAACAUAUAAUGAUGUAUGAUACUCUUUAGUUUCAUAUUUUGGCCUAACUUGGUUGAGUAAAUUCAACAUUUUAUUUCUAACUGUGCAUUUCAAACCGUUUUAUGUUAUUUGUUGGUUUUGUUGAUUCUCAUGAUUGUACUUGAACUUUCUCAUGUCGUUUUUCUACAUCCGGGUCUUUCAUUCUCUGGCCAACACUGUGCUUUUGGCUGCAGUGGGUCCCAGGGGAUGCUCUAAGACUGGAGUUUUUUUUUUAACUAAUUUAUUUAUUUAUUACAAAUCUCUUUUCUUUCAUGAUGAGGUUUCAUGCUUUUGAUUUAUUUUCUAAGGAUUCUGGCUUUGAUUGCACCCUGCUCUCUCUAGACUGAACACAAUUUGCAUAACGUGCUCGCAGGAAUGUACGUAACGCUCCUUUUUAUAGUCCGUUUGAUUCGAAGCUCUUAAUUUUGACCUUUAUAGGCCUGCCCUGAUUAACUUUUAAAGUUUUGAGUCAUUGUCUCGGAAACUUUGUGACAUUUUAGAAGUCUGUUAAAUCAGUUGUUCAGCUGACCAGAUCUGCUUCAUACUCAUUAUGCUAUCACAAUCAAUUAUUUAUUGUAGAUUUUUUUGAGGUUGUUUUUUUUUUAUCUUUGCUGUUUGUUUGUUUCAUUGCAAGAAGGUCUAAUUUUAGAAUUAAAGUUAUAUUCAUUUGUGGGAGGAAGGAGCCCCCUGCUGGCCAUGUUUUGAACUUCUAAUUGCUUCAAAGGGGAAAACAAUCUUUCUUUGGUUUAUUGGCCACAUAAAAUCCUCCUUUCUACUUAUUCUGUCUUUUUGUCACUCUAAUUUUCAUAUUUAGCUUAAUGGGCUCCUAGCAGAGACAAUUACGCUGAUCUUGAUGGGAUUUAAAUGAGACAGCACCAGCGGAUUGAUGCGAUCUAAACUGUUUUCCAGUAUGCUGCUGAGAGCAACUCCCUCUGUAUAUUAAAUUUAGCCUGGAUUGACAAUAAUAUGCACCAGUUUGCUACUUCCAAUGAACAGUUUGAUAAGGACAGCAUGGACUUUACUGGAAACAUUCCCUAUUAGUUUAUUCUGACUGGGAAAUGACCAGUGAACAUCAUAAGGAUGGGGAAGAAUAUGCAACAGUUUAAUGCAAACAUUCGCUUUAAAGCAGCCGCCUUCAUGUGUGGAUAUAUUUUAGUUUUGCUUGUGUUUCACAGUAAUGUAAACUGAUCCCGUUGCGAUGUGUAAUCUCAUCUUGUGAGUAAGCUUGUGAUGAAGCCGAAUAUGGAUCAGCUUCUCAGCACGGACCCUCAGAUAAAAAGAAAUGUCCGCCUGCCGAUCUCACUCAAACGGCCCCUUGCUCCUGCUUAAGCUCACAUCCUGCUGAGCGACCUUAAUGCUAGUUUUUACUCAUUUUGUUUGGCUGACUACCUCAGUUUCAGUCCACCGCAUGUAUCCAUUAUCGGGGAAUUCAAAAAAAGAGAUGGGAGUAAGGUUAAACAACUGUUGCCUUGGAAAACAACCACAGACUUUGAGAUAAAAGGGCAUUAAUGUGCCUUUUGAGGAGUGUACCAGAGGUUGAUUUUACUUUUAUUUACUGAUUAAUGCCUUCUGCCUUUCUGUGUGCAAUAAAUGGUGUCAAGCGCUUUA